GUGAGGAAUAUUGGUCAAUGGGCGGAAGCCUGAACCAGCCAUCCCGCGUGAAGGAAGGCGGCCCUAUGGGUUGUAAACUUCUUUAGUACAUGAAGAACAGGAUCUACGCGUAGGUUUAUGACGGUAAUGUACAAAAAAGCAUCGGCUAACUCCGUGCCAGCAGCCGCGGUAAUACGGAGGAUGCGAGCGUUAUCCGGCUUCAUGGGGUUUAAAGGGUACGUAGGUGGCCCUGUAAGUCAGUGGUGAAAAUCUGCCGCUUAACGGUAGGGGUGCCAAUGAUACUGCGGGGCUUGAGUACAGUUGAGGUAGGUGGAAUGUGUAGUGUAGCGGUGAAAUGCAUAGAUAUUACACAGAACUCCGAUUGCGAAGGCAUCUUACUAAGCUGAAACUGACACUGAUGUACGAAAGCGUGGGGAUCGAACAGGAUUAGAUACCCGUGUAGUCC
rnacentral:rRNA from 1 species